CUGGUGUCCAAAGGGGAGUGUUGCAGGGGAAGAGCCGAGCUCUGCCGUGUCCUGGCAGAUUGUUUGCCACCCCAAGAUUCCGGGCAGAUCAGUUUCAAGGGGAUGAUAGACAAGGAAGACCCAGAGAAGGCGCUGAGCACGUUGGAAGCAGGCGGGGCCAAGCCUUGGCAGGACCCAGCGGACUUUUCUCUGGGCUGGAGAGGUUACAGAAUUCGGGACUGGACAUCAAGGGUGGCAGAGUUGGCCCUCAAAACUUGCUCACCUGUGGGUCCAGUGAGAAUCAAUGACAUUUUUCUUAAGAGCUGAGCUGAGAGAAAGCCUAGUAAGUUCCAGGAAUACAAACCACGAAAAUGAAACACCAGGCUUAUGUUUCCAGCUGGAUCAAGCUGCUGUCUAAAAGGACCUCAUGCUGACACUGCUCACUUGGCCCUAAAUUCAAGGCCACCUUCUCAGGGGCUGCGGGGGUGAGGAGCCUGGAUGGCCAGAACGAGACAACUCUGACAUAGAACCCACAACCCCGAGAUCAAGACCUGAGCUGAGAUCAAGAAUCAGAUGCCUAACCAACUGAGCCACCCGGGCACCCCUUUAUUUGCUCAUUUUAAAAUUCUCUUCCCACUUGAAUGUGAGCCCCAUGAGAAGAUAGACUUUCUAUAUUCUACCCAUCACUGUAUCCCCAACACCCCAAAUAGAGCCUGGCACACAGUAGGCUUGACAAUAAAGAUUUGUAAGAUGGUUGAACGAGUAAACACCUAACUCCGUGCUGGCCUAGAAAAUGCUUUCACAAAAUGAUUUUCAUUAUCGUGAUUAUGGCCCUUUAUGAAGAAAAAGGACAGAAUUAGUGGGGAAGACCUGAUUCUGGUCCCAAAUGAGACCUGAGUGGAAAAAACCUUAAUCCCUUGGGCAGUUUCACUGUUGGUGUGAGUCAGAAGCUGCUUUUUUGACCAGGAAGCUGUUGUGUCACAUGACC